CGCUGAAAAACCCGUUCCUGUUCGAUUACUGAAGUUAAGCAACGCGGGGCGUGGUCAGUACCUAGAUGAGUGACCGCUUGGGAAUACCA